rnacentral:pre_miRNA from 15 species
GCUAGUGUACUUUUGAAAAAGACCACCGUCCGCAGUUUGUUGUGAUGUGCUCCAAGCAAUCAUGAGUCUGAAGCACCACGAGAAGCUGCAGAUGGAGGUUCUGAUUUUCGAACGAGUUCAGA